CCUACGGGCGGCAGCAGUGAGGAAUAUUGGUCAAUGGCCGAGAGGCUGAACCAGCCAAGUCGCGUGAGGGAAGACGGCCCUACGGGUUGUAAACUUCUUUUAUAAAGGAAUAAAGUGAGGCACGUGUGCCUUUUUGUAUGUACUUUAUGAAUAAGGAUCGGCUAACUCCGUGCCAGCAGCCGCGGUAAUACGGAGGAUCCGAGCGUUAUCCGGAUUGAUUGGGUUUAAAGGGAGCGUAGAUGGGUUGUUAAGUCAGUUGUGAAAGUUUGCGGCUCAACCGUAAAAUUGCAAUUGAUACUGGCAGCCUUGAGUACAGUUGAGGUAGGCGGAAUUCGUGGUGUAGCGGUGAAAUGCUUAGAUAUCACGAAGAACUCCGAUUGCGAAGGCAGCUUACUAAACUGCCACUGACAUUGAUGCUCGAAAGUGUGGGUAUCAAACAGGAUUAGAUACCCCUGUAGUC
rnacentral:rRNA from 1 species